UACCCCGGCUAAGGUCACCUACAGUCAGCUGUGGGGAAGGCUACUGAUAUGAGUGCAUCAGUCCUGUUCUCGGGGAAGAAAGGACAGAGGAAAAAUGGGCUGCAGUGGUCCCACCAUGUGUUUCUUUCCCUGUGAGAGGCACCCACUCAGGGUUCAAUACAGAUCCUUGCCUGUGAGGACUGUCACCUGGCAUCUCAGCUUCAGAAGGGAGACCAGCAGUUAAUUCCCUUGGGUCCCACAACCACUGGGUCAGUCCUCGGUGACCCAAGAUAAGGAGGAUGAUAAAGCCCACCUUAACGAAUUCUUGUGAAGAUUAAAGUGUGUCACGAGAGUCAAAGGAACACCAUCCCUGCUGCCCCCGGAUCUUGUAAAGGCUGUGAAACUUCAGCAUCGGGAUAAACAUUCGUGACUAAAAAUCCACGCGGAGGCUCAGUGUGGAAGGGUCCAUCCACACGGUCAGUGGCUGAGGGAGCUUGUGGGUGGCCUCAGCCCUCACAUCAUCCUUAAGGCUUCUCUCCCCUCUUAGGUAAAGAGGGUGAUGGCAGGUGAUGAUAUAAAAGCAGUUAAUAAGGGCUAUUUGCCCCUGGCUGGAAAAAUCCAGGGCAAACUGAGAGAUUCCCCUGCUGUGGAGGGACAGGGCA